rnacentral:rRNA from 1 species
CGGUGGAGCAUGUGGUUUAAUUCGAUGAUACGCGAGGAACCGUUACCUGGGCUCAAAUGUAUGUUGACGUAUUACUGAAAGGGAUACUUCUUCGGACAAUAUACAAGGUGCUGCAUGGUUGUCGUCAGCUCGUGCCGUGAGGUGUCGGGUUAAGUCCCAUAACGAGCGCAACCCCUAUCAUUAGUUGCCAUCAGGUCAAGCUGGGGACUCUAAUGAAACUGCCUACGCAAGUAGUGAGGAAGGUGGGGAUGACGUCAAAUCAGCACGGCCCUUACGUCCAGGGCUACACACGUGCUACAAUGGCCGGUACAAAGGGCAGCUACCUGGUGACAGGAUGCUAAUCUCAAAAGCCGGUCUCAGUUCGGAUUGAAGUCUGCAACUCGACUUCAUGAAGCUGGAAUCGCUAGUAAUCGUGGAUCAGCCAAGCCGCGGUGAAUACGUUCCCGGGCCUU